rnacentral:rRNA from 1 species
AACAGGAUUAGAUACCCUGGUAGUCCACGCCGUAAACGAUGGAUACUCGCUGUGGGCGAUACACAGUCCGCGGCUUAGCGAAAGCGUUAAGUAUCCCACCUGGGGAGUACGCCGGCAACGGUGAAACUCAAAGGAAUUGACGGGGGCCCGCACAAGUGGUGGAGCAUGUGGUUUAAUUCGAUGAUACGCGAGGAACCUUACCGAGGCUAGAAUGCGCGUGACCGGCCCAGAGAUGGGCCUUUCCUUCGGGACACAAAGCAAGGUGCUGCAUGGCCGUCGUCAGCUCGUGCCGUGAGGUGUUGGGUUAAGUCCCGCAACGAGCGCAACCCCUAUGUUUAGUUGCCAGCGGAUUAUGCCGGGGACUCUAGACAGACUGCCUGCGCAAGCAGCGAGGAAGGCGGGGACGACGUCAGGUCAUCAUGGCCCUUACGCCUCGGGCUACACACGUGCUACAAUGGACGGUACAGAGGGUCGCCACGCAGCGAUGCGGAGCCAAUCUCAAAAAGCCGUUCUCAGUUCGGAUCGGAGUCUGCAACUCGACUCCGUGAAGCUGGAAUCACUAGUAAUCGCGUAUCAGCAACGACGCGGUGAAUACGUUCCCGGGCCUUGUACACACCGCCCGUCAAGCCAUGGAAGUCUGGUAGACCUGAAGCUGGUGCCCCGCAACGGAGCCAGUUAGGGUAGAACAGGUAACUGGGGCUAAGUCGUAACAAGGUAACC